rnacentral:misc_RNA from 1 species
CGAUCUCAAAACCCUAGCUGCUUCUAGGGGUUUUUCCGCCCUCCUCCCACCAUGAACUUUCUCUUCCGCCGCUCCGCCUCGAUCGCCGCUGUUGCCGCCACCUCGGCGGCGAGGCGAUCCGUCAUCGCCGCCCUCAUCUCCUCCAACCCCCUCACUUUUCAAUCGGAGUCAUUCACCACAGCCGCCGCUUCCCCUGCCGGUGCCUUCCAAGCUUCCGCAGCUGCUGGAUGUGGGUUUAGCUGUAUCGGCCGCCGGG